rnacentral:rRNA from 1 species
CAAGUCGGACGGGGUAUUUGGAAGUAGCAAUACGGAAGGGUGACUUAGUGGCGGACGGGUGAGUAACACGUAGGCAACCUACCCUCAGGCGGGGGACAACCCAGGGAAACUUGGGCUAAUACCGUAUAAGACCACGAACUGGGAUGUUGGUGGUAAAAGGGGCAAUUCACCUGAGGAUGGGCCUGCGGCCUAUCAGGUAGUUGGUGAGGUAAAGGCUCACCAAGCCGACGACGGGUAGCCGGUCUGAGAGGACGGACGGCCACACUGGAACUGAGAUACGGUCCAGACUCCUACGGGAGGCAGCAGUGGGGAAUAUUGCACAAUGGGCGGAAGCCUGAUGCAGCGACGCCGCGUGGAGGAAGAAGGCCUUCGGGUUGUAAACUCCUUUUGUAGGGGAAAAUAAUGAUGGUACCCUGCGAAUAAGCCACGGCUAACUCUGUGCCAGCAGCCGCGGU